ACUUANUUCUGGCCAAAAAAGUACAAAUACAAAUUCAAAACUUAAAAGACCUGGCGGUGUCCAAAAUCAGCCUAGAGGAGCUUGUUAUAUAAUCGAUAACCCACGUUAAACCUUACCUGCUCUGGCAAAUCCAGCUUGUAUACCGCCGUCGACAGCCCAUUUUCCAAAAAAUAGAGCAACUUUAGCCCCCCUAUGAACGACAGGUCAAGGUGCAGCCUAUGAGGAGGCCAAUAAUGGGCUACACUACUAAACAUAACAAAAACUCCACUGAAACACAGUUGCACGAAGAAGAAUUUAGCAGUAAGAAGAAUAAGAGCGUUCUACUGAACCAGGACAUUGAACACGCACACACCGCCCGUCACCCUCUGCAGUCAAA
rnacentral:rRNA from 1 species